rnacentral:rRNA from 1 species
GACGUAGGGAGCGAGCGUUGUCCGGAUUCAUUGGGCGUAAAGAGCGCGUAGGCGGCCGUGCAAGUCGGUUGUGAAAUCCCGGGGCUCAACCCCGGGACUGCGUCCGAUACUGCACGGCUCGAGGCAGGUAGGGGAGAGUGGAAUUCCCGGUGUAGCGGUGAAAUGCGCGAGAUAUCGGGAGGAACACCGGUGGCGAAGGCGGCUCUCUGGACCUGUCCUGACGCGUGAGGCGCG